ACCAAUAUUACUAUGCAGACCAUGGUCCAAAUCGGCCCAUCUAAAAACCCUAAAAACCCUAGACUAUAUAACCCAUUCCUCUCUCUCUCCCUAUCUUCCCCCUCCGUGACCCUCCCUCAGCCGCACAACUCUCUCUCUCUCUCUCUCCCUCUCACUCUCUCUCUCUCGCAUGCGCGAAUCGAGCGCAGGGGCAUGGCGCCU
rnacentral:lncRNA from 1 species